rnacentral:tRNA from 1 species
GGGGAUAUAACUCAGUUGGUAGAGCACUUGCCUUGUAUGCACAAGGCACUGGGUUUGAUCCCCAACAUCCCCC